UACAGAGGGGGCAAGCGUUGUUCGGAAUUACUGGGCGUAAAGGGCGCGUAGGCGGCCUGCUAAGUCGAACGUGAAAUCCCCGGGCUUAACCCGGGAACUGCGUCCGAUACUGGUUGGCUUGAAUUCGGGAGAGGGAUGCGGAAUUCCAGGUGUAGCGGUGAAAUGCGCAGAUAUCAGGAGGAACACCGAUGGCGAAGGCAGCUUGCUACACAAUCAUUGACACUGAGGCACGAAAGCGUGGGGAUCAAACAGG
rnacentral:rRNA from 1 species